GACACUGUUCAAGAACAGUCCCAUAUCUACCAGUCUUUUGAGAAUGUAUACUUGAACAUGGAAAAAGAGGGAGACAGACAGACUGAGAGAAGCAGACAGACAGACAGACAGACAGAGAUAAACUUUCCCAAUUUCUUCACGAGGGAUAUAGAUACUGGGCAUUAACAAUUUGAGGGAUGAGGUCUGUAUGAAUGGCAUGGAGCAUGCAACCUGGAAUUAACCCAUUUGAGAGUUCUUGCAAAAUCAUCCGAGACAUGUGGAUUAAGCUUCGAUCUGUCUUUUUAGAAUUAACUUUGUAAUCCUCCUGUCCAAAACAGCAGUACAUUGACUGAAUUUUCAGCCAGUCUAAUUUGUUAUACUUUGUUGUUACUUGUGAAAUAAAUUCAGUACAUGCGUGUUU